UACGGAGGGUGCAAGCGUUAUCCGGAUUCACUGGGUUUAAAGGGGGCGUAGGUGGGCAGGUAAGUCAGUGGUGAAAUCUUUGGGCUUAACCCGAAAACUGCCAUUGAUACUAUUUGUCUUGAAUAUUGUGGAGGUCAGCGGAAUAUGUCAUGUAGCGGUGAAAUGCUUAGAUAUGACAUAGAACACCAAUUGCGAAGGCAGCUGGCUACACAUAUAUUGACACUGAUGCACGAAAGCGUGGGGAUCAAACAGG
rnacentral:rRNA from 1 species